GCAUCUAAAUCUUUCCCGUACCUUGCUACGCAGUGCAGGCUCGGGGACAUGUGAUGCUAAAGCAGUACAGAGCAAAUCCAGGCAGGUUUAUCUUCUCUUGCAGAAAGACUUGUCUCUACACCUCUGAAACAUUU